CACGUAGGGGGCGAGCGUUGUCCGGAUUUAUUGGGCGUAAAGAGCUCGUAGGCGGCUCGGUAAGUCAGGUGUGAACCUCCAGGCUCAACCUGGAGACGCCACCUGAUACUGCCGUGGCUAGAGUCCGGUAGAGGAGCGUAGAAUUCCUGGUGUAGCGGUGAAAUGCGCAGAUAUCAGGAGGAAUACCAGCGGCGAAGGCGGCGCUCUGGGCCGGUACUGACGCUGAGGAGCGAAAGCGUGGGAGCAAACAGG
rnacentral:rRNA from 1 species